UGAGAGGAUGAUCAGCCACACUGGGACUGAGACACGGCCCAGACUCUACGGGAGGCAGCAGUGGGGAAUUUUGGACAAUGGGGGAAACCCUGAUCCAGCCAUCCCGCGUGUGCGAUGAAGGCCUUCGGGUUGUAAAGCACUUUUGGCAGGAAAGAAACGUCAUGGGUUAAUACCCCGUGAAACUGACGGUACCUGCAGAAUAAGCACCGGCUAACUACGUGCCAGCAGCCGCGGUAAUACGUAGGGUGCAAGCGUUAAUCGGAAUUACUGGGCGUAAAGCGUGCGCAGGCGGUUCGGAAAGAAAGAUGUGAAAUCCCAGAGCUUAACUUUGGAACUGCAUUUUUAACUACCGAGCUAGAGUGUGUCAGAGGGAGGUGGAAUUCCGCGUGUAGCAGUGAAAUGCGUAGAUAUGCGGAGGAACACCGAUGGCGAAGGCAAUCCCCUGGGCCUGCACUGACGCUCAUGCACGAAAGCGUGGGGAGCAAACAGGAUUAGAUAC
rnacentral:rRNA from 1 species